UACGUAGGGGGCAAGCGUUAAUCGGAAUUACUGGGCGUAAAGCGUGCGCAGGCGGUUGUGUAAGACAGAUGUGAAAUCCCCGGGCUUAACCUGGGAACUGCAUUUGUGACUGCACGGCUAGAGUGUGUCAGAGGGGGGUAGAAUUCCACGUGUAGCAGUGAAAUGCGUAGAUAUGUGGAGGAAUACCGAUGGCGAAGGCAGCCCCCUGGGAUAACACUGACGCUCAUGCACGAAAGCGUGGGGAGCAAACAGG
rnacentral:rRNA from 1 species